rnacentral:rRNA from 1 species
AUUGAACGCUGGCGGCAUGCUUUACACAUGCAAGUCGAACGGCAGCACGGGGGCAACCCUGGUGGCGAGUGGCGAACGGGUGAGUAACACAUCGGAACGUGUCCAGUUGUGGGGGAUAACCCAUCGAAAGGUGGGCUAAUACCGCAUGAGCUGGCAACAGGAAAGCGGGGGACCCGCAAGGGCCUUGUGCGAUUGGAGCGGCCGAUGUCCGAUUAGCUAGUUGGUGGGGUAAAGGCCUACCAAGGCUUCGAUCGGUAGCUGGUCUGAGAGGAUGAUCAGCCACACUGGGACUGAGACACGGCCCAGACUCCUACGGGAGCAGCAGUGGGGAAUUUUGGACAAUGGGGGCAACCCUGAUCCAGCCAUGCCGCGUGAGUGAAGAAGGCCUGGUUGUAAGUAC